rnacentral:rRNA from 1 species
UACGUAGGGUGCAAGCGUUGUCCGGAAUUAUUGGGCGUAAAGAGCUCGUAGGCGGUUUGUUGCGUCGGCUGUGAAAACCUGAGGCUCAACCUCGGGCCUGCAGUCGAUACGAGCAGACUAGAGUGUUGCAGGGGAGACUGGAAUUCCUGGUGUAGCGGUGAAAUGCGCAGAUAUCAGGAGGAACACCGGUGGCGAAGGCGGGUCGCUGGGCCAUUCCUGACGCUGAGACGCGAAAGCUAGGGGAGCGAACAGG